rnacentral:rRNA from 1 species
AACUUCGGUUGAUCCUGCCGAAGGCUACUGCUAUUGGAGUUCGAUUAAGCCAUGCGAGUCUAAGGGAUACUUGUAUCCCUGGCAUAAUGCUCAGUAACACGUGGAUAAUCUGCCCUCAGGUGAGGAAUAAACCCGGGAAACUGGGGCUAAUACCUCAUAGAUACAGAUAGCUGGAAUGCUUCUGUAUUCAAAGCUCCGGCGCCUGAGGAUGAGUCUGCGGCCUAUCAGGUUGUAGUCAGGGUCAUGACCUGACUAGCCAACGACGGGUACGGGGUGUGAGAGCACUUGCCCGGAGAUGGUUUCUGAGACACGAAACCAGGCCCUACGGGGCGCAGC